rnacentral:rRNA from 1 species
UACGGGGGGGGGCAAGCGUUGUUCGGAAUUACUGGGCUUAAAGGGUGCGUAGGCGGCGCAGAAAGUUGGGUGUGAAAUCCCUCGGCUCAACCGAGGAACUGCGCCCAAAACUACUGUGCUUGAGGAAGAUAGAGGUAAGCGGAACUUACGGUGGAGCGGUGAAAUGCGUUGAUAUCGUAAGGAACACCUGUGGCGAAAGCGGCUUACUGGGUCUUUUCUGACGCUGAUGCACGAAAGCCAGGGGAGCAAACGGG